AUGAAGAAACCGGGAAUUUGCUACUUUGAGGGGUCUCCGGAGCGUGUGGAGGGACCCGCACCAGCAGGGAGACGGCGGAAGAUGAUGGGAACAUGGGUGACCCGGAGUGGGAGCCGGUGUCCGCAUCUUUUUCUCCUGCUCCUUCUCGGCUGCAGCUGCCACAUGUUGCACGGCCAAGGGCUGCAAGAGGUAGCAAAUUCAGACUGUCCAUCUGUCAGCUCACUACAUUCAACAAGAUUAAAAUACCCUAACAACUAUUGGAUGGAUUGCCAAAAAUAAACCAUUCAUGGUCCUCAGAGGAUGAAUUGUAACCUGUGAAGCAUGCUAACAUGCUCAAGUUAGCAUUUAUCUUAAAGCACCGCUGUGCCUAAGUACAGCCUCACAGAGCCACUAGCAUGGCGUUUCCAUUAUGGGUUAAUCUGAGAUCUUUUGGUUAUUAUUAAUAAAUUAUGGGUUCAUAAUGUCAUAAUGUAAUCACAAUUUCUCAUACUCAGAGGUAACGCUGUUAAAAUGCUUAUAUUGUCCAACCAACUAUCUAUUAUCAGAAUGUUGUUUGUUUCAGUCCUAUUCACCAACAUGAAUUACUGAAACAAGCAAUCUGAAACAUCUGUAUCUGUGAUUGUCUGCCUUUGUCUUUAUUUUUCUCCUCAAAUUCAUCUUCUUGAUCUUUUUACCUUCAUCCUCUUUGUCAUCUGUUUCAUUUUCUUCGUGCACAUGCAGCUUAAUAGAGACCAGUCCGAUCUAUUCUGAUGAUAGAAACACUCUCUGCAUAAUGACACACAGGUAACUGUAAGCAUGUACACACAAAUGCACACGGAUAUGGCCUCUUAUUAAAAAUGUUUUCCUCCUGGUUCCCACAAUGCAUUUUCUUUCUUUAUUUACGGGAUGUGGUUGCAUUAUCGUGGAAACCUGCUGAGUGGCUGUCCAAAUGUGGUCAAAUUGUUUUUUACCUCUCCAUUUUGCCAUCUCUCCUUGCUGCUCGACACACACAUUCCACCAACAUAUUCUUCAUUAUUUUGUGUUAUAUAAAUACUCUUACUGCAGGUUUGCAACCCCAGAGAAUCAAUGUGUAGGAAAGUAAAAAUACAUCUAUAUAUACGCUACAGUAACUCCUGUCGUUACAGGAGAGAGCCAAGCUAGUUCAAGUUUAACAAUAAUCGAUACGGAUCAAUGAUACCAAAGUACUCUGAAGAGGUUGGAAAUAUAUAUUCUGUUUGUUACAGUUGCUCACACAAUGUUAAAGAAUAGACAUAAUAUUUAUAUUACAAUAUCUAACACAGUGUUCUAUUGUCAGAAAACUGAAGUAACCAAUUUAACCAAUUUACCCUUUAUUAAUCCCUGUAGGGAAAUUCCUUCCCUGUAUUUGACCCAUCCUAAGUAGUGGACAGCCACGUGCAGCGCACCUGGACCAACUCCAGAUCUGAGCCAGUGCCUGGGUUCAGCUGUCGUUGUAUUCCUUAGCCUGACCUCUCUAGUCCAUCUUGCUUGUUUGUUAUUCGCUGCUCAUUAGAUAUUGUUGGCAUGGAUUCCACAGUCCAUUUACAGUAAAUAAAAAGAUAGAAGAUGGACAGGAGUACGAUUGUGGAAGAAAAA
rnacentral:lncRNA from 15 species